CUCCUUAAUAGUUGUUAACUCCUCAGAUACAAUUCUGCAACUGGAUUGACUGAUCAUAUUUGACAUAAGUAGCUAAAUUGUUACAAAAAAGUUAAUAAUGCCUGGGAUAUAGAUUAGUGGUGGAGGACCAGCCUAACAGUCCCCAGCAUUAUAAUAAUAAUAAUAACAAUGGCAAUAAUAAGGUAUGGAUCAGGCCUGCUCAUUUUUAAAGAUUGUUUGUUUACAUGAUUAUGAAACAAUAGGUCUGGAUCAAUGCCUUUUUCACUGCUUGCAAUUAAUACGUCCUUAGCAAGAUUAUAAAUAGCAAAAUUAAAUCAGAUUUCUUAUUUGAAAGUCAGUCUAUUUUGGUAUAACAACUCUACUAGAUGUAAUUACAUAUUACAAUUUUUUUCUAAUGUGCCCUUACCCCCAGCUACGUGCUGUACCAUAAAUAGAAUGGGGAAAUGUGAUUUCCUGGCAAAUAGAAUUAAAGCAGGAAAAGCUAUAAAGUAUGGAGCAUUUGUCCUGUCAGUUUUUUCUAUAAUGAGCAAAACAGAGAUUUAUGUCUUAAAGAUUUUUUUCUACUAAAUUUAAAAUACCUUUAAACCAGAUAACACUGCUAUAUAGAGCUAUCCAUUUGAGUCUCUUGCUGUCUCGAGAUUUUUUAAAUAGGCAAAACUUUGAGAAUAUAUACAGUAAUAGAGACUUUACCUAACAUUUUCAAGACUCUGGCUUCAACCCCCAGGAAAAUAAGCAGAUAAAGUACACCUUGCAUUCAUGGGCACCUUUCUUAGACGGUGGCUUUCCCUCCCUCUCUCCCUCUCUUCUUUCCUGACUUUCUUUCUUUCUUUUCAAGACAGAGUCUCUAAACAUAGCCUAGACUAAUCUUGAAUUAACCAUGCAGUCCAGGCAAGCCUCAAACUCACAAUGAUCCUCCUGCCUCAGCCUCCCAAGUGCUCGGAUUUUAGAGAUGAGCCACCAUCCCUAGGCUGGGUGAUUGUAGUUCUUUCUUCAACUCUAGAAUCUUCCUGCCACAUCCCAUCUCUGUAGACAGAAACCUUCAGCAAUCAAGCGAUUUUUACUCAAUUUUGUAUUUUGUACAUAUGUAUUUAUUUUUCUUCUUUAAAAUAAAUUUCUCAUUUUUUGAGAUUAUAAUGUAGUUAUAUUAUUUUCCUCUUCCUUUUCCUCCCUCCAAACACUCCCAUAUGCCCCUCAAAUUCAUGGCAUUUUUUAUGAAUUUUUGUUACAUGUAUAUGCAUAUGUGUGUAUAUAUAUAUAUACAUAUAUAUAUAUUCUUAAAUAUAUAAAUACAAUCUACUAGUAUGUAUACUGUUACUUGUAUGUAUGUUUUCAUUGGCAAUGACUAUUGAUAUUGGAUAAGCAAUUGGUGUGCUCUUCCCUGGGGAAGGCUGUUUCUCCCCUCUCAGCAUUGCUUAGUUACCUGUUGUCUUAGUUAGGGUUAUUAUUGCUGUGAUGAAAUAUUGUCCCCCAAAGCAAUGUAGGGCCAGGCAGUGGUGGCGCACGCCUUUAAUCCCAACACUUGGGAGGCAGAGGCAGGUGGAUUUCUGAGUUCGAGGGCAGCCUGGUCUACAGAGUGAGUUCUAGGACAGCCAGGGCUACACAAAAAAAACCCUGUCUCGAAAAAACAAAACCAACCCUCCCCCUCCCCCCCCAAAAAAAAGCAACGUAGGGAGGAGAGGGUUUAUUUGGCUUACAUAUCCAGAGUCACAGUCCAUUGAGAGAAGUCAAGACAGGAACACAAACUGGGCAGGAACCUGGAGGCAGGAGCUGAUGCAGAGGCCAUGGAGGGGUGCUGCUUACUGUCUUGCUCCCCUUGGUUGCUCAGUAGGCUUUCUUAUAGCACCUGGGACCACCAGCCCAGGGAUGGCCCCACCCACAAUGAGCCCUCCCACAUCAGUUACUAAUUAAGAAUAGCUCCUACGGGCCUUCUACAGCCUGAUCAUAUGGAAACACUUCUCAACUGAGGCUCCCUCUUCUCUAGCUAGUGUCCAGUUGACAUAAAACUAGCCAGUACGUCCGUAGUUCUUUGUGUAGGGCUGAGGCCAUUUGGGCUUUCUCCUGUCCACAUUAACAUGUCUGUUACUGAGUUCCUUGCUCAGCUCAUGUUUCAGCAGUCAUGUUGGUGAAACUAUGGGUAUAGCUUCUGACUGACAUUCCUAGGAGAUACUAUCUCACAGCAAACUCCCUGAUACUCUGGAUCUUACAGACUUUCCACCCCUUCUUCCACAGUGUCCCCCAAGCUUUAGGUUCAGGGGUGUUUUAUAGACACGUAAAUGGGACUGGGAUUCACAACUGCAUUUUUACUGGUUGUGUUUUUUAUGUAAUGGUGUCUAUCUGUUGUAAAGGAAAUCUUCCUUGAUGAGGGUUGGGGGCAAUAGUGACCAGCAGUUACAAGGAAAAUACUUAGAAUGUGCUUAGGGAUCAUCUUGGCUUAAUGAAGUAGCAGUUGUAAGUUCUCCUCCAGAAUACAUGCUUCCACUAACCCUGAGAUCCUCUUCUUGGCUUUCCUAGCACUGGGUCUACAAGCUCCUGGCUUUUUGUAUGGGUGCGGAAGGUGCAACUCACACAGGUCCUCAUGCACAAGCAGGCACUUAACCAACCAAGCCGUCUCCCCAGCCAAAAGAGUGGAGACUGGAAAUAUAUCUUUAAACAGCAUAGUGCUUCCCCUCAUGGCUAUCCUUGCUGCUGUCAUUCCCAUGGCAGUCAGUGCCUGCAAGGGAGCUGUUGUCCCUAGGGACAGCGGUGCCACUAUGUGGUAAUGUCUUGGUCAGGGUUUCUAUUACUGCAAUGAAACACUAGGACCAAAAGCAGGUUAGGGAGGAAAGGGUUUAUUUGGCUUACACUUCCACAGCAGUGUUCAUUAUAGAAAGGACUCAAGGCAGGAAUCUGGAGGCAGGAGCUGGGGCAGAGGCUACAGAGGGCUGCUGCUUACUGGCUUGCUCCUAUGGCUUUCUUAUGGAACCCAGUACACUAGCCCAGGGAUGGCACCACCCAGAGUGGGCUGGGAACUUCAUUUAUCGAUAGUUAAGAAAACGCCUUACGUCUUAUGGAGGUAUUUUUCUCAAUGGAGGUUCCUUAACAGCUUGUGUCAGGCUGAUACAAACCUAGCCAGCACAGGUCAUACCUCUAAAUCUAUAAAAGAUUUACCUAGCCUAUGACAAGAGUGAGGCAAAAGCCAGUUACACAGCA
rnacentral:lncRNA from 1 species